rnacentral:rRNA from 1 species
CGGAGGGUGCAAGGCGUUGUCCGGAUUUAUUGGGUUUAAAGGGUGCGUAGGCGGCCCGUUAAGUCAGUGGUGAAAGCCUCCAGCUCAACUGGAGAACUGCCAUUGAUACUGGCGGGCUUGAGUACAGACGAGGUUGGCGGAAUUGAUUGUGUAGCGGUGAAAUGCAUAGAUACAAUCAAGAACCCCGAUUGCGUAGGCAGCUAACUAGGCUGUAACUGACGCUGAGGCACGAAAGCGUGGGGAGCGAACAGGAUUAGAUACCCUGGUAGUCCACGCCGUAAACGAUGAUUACUCGAUGUCGGCGAUAAACAGCCGGCGUCUUAGCGAAAGCGUUAAGUAAUCCACCUGGGGAGUACGCCCGCAAGGGUG